GAUGAAGAACGUAGCGAAAUGCGAUAAGUAGUGUGAAUUGCAGAAUUCAGUGAAUCAUCGAAUCUUUGAACGCACAUUGCGCCCCUUGGUAUUCCAUGGGGCAUGCCUGUUCGAGCAUCAUUUGUACCUUCAAGCUCUGCUUGGUGUUGGGUGUUUGUCUCGCCUCUGCGUGUAGACUCGCCUCAAAAUAAUUGGCAGCCGGCGUAUUGAUUUCGGAGCGCAGUACAUCUCGCGCUUUGCACUCAUAACGACGACGUCCAAAAGUACAUUUUUACACUCUUGACCUCGGAUCAGGUAGGGAUACCCGCUGAACUUAAGCAUAUCAAUAAGCGGAGGA
rnacentral:misc_RNA from 1 species